rnacentral:lncRNA from 1 species
CUCAUUUGGUGAGAUCAGAAUGUGCCUGAAUAACUCUGAAGGUUAAAAUAUGUUGACUGAAUUUUCUGCUGCCACCAUUCAGCAGCAGCUAGGCUAUGCCUCUCAUGAUCAUGACACGUAGUGGAAAUUUUCCUGGCUUCUAUACAUCAUCAUCUCUGCCUGGCUAGCCUGGACUUCUUUUUGUGGAGACUGGAUUCCAAGAUUGAAAGUAGAAGCUACAUGUUUUCUCCAAGCAGGGCUUUCAGACUUCACUUCUGCAACAUUUUAUUGAUGAAAGCAAGUCACAAGACCAGACUGAUUCAAGGGGUGGAGAAAUAGACCCUACUUCUUGAUGGAGGGAGGAGUAGAGUUACAUUGCAAAGGGAUCUGGACAAAAAAAGGAGUGAUUUAUUAGGAAUCAUGUUUAACAAUUUACCACAAUCCCCAGCGCAACUGCCUGUUAGCUGGAUCCAGAAAUGUCUACGACUACUGCAAUGCCACUUGGCCUUAGGGGUGAUGUGACCCAGUGUAAAGAGAUGGUGGUCUUAACCAAUCACAGUUAAGAUAGUUUAGUUUUGGAAGGUAUAAAAAAUAUGUAACAACAUGAAUGCACUUUUAGGGUCAGACAAGAGACUUGGAAAGAGCCUGCAAAAUGGAGGAGCCCUGAGGCCUAAGUCUCAUGAGUGUCAAUGCUUACCUGUAUCUAGACACUGGCAUCCCCCUUUUGAUAAGGCCAAGAUUGAUUGUUUUCCUUUUCUACCUACCCUAUAUCUAAUCCAUGUACAAACACUGUUGACACACAAAAGAACCCUAAAUUCAACAAUCUGUGAAGAAUUUUUGCACUAACAUGUUAGUUCAAAAACUCAACAUUGCUUGCUAAGACUAUUGCAAUAAACUCCUCUAUGAUCCCCUAAUUUGAUUCUUGCUCCUCUUAUUUUUUACACAGUCAUCAGAGUAAAUCUUUUCAAAGGUAAAUUGGAUUUUAUGACUUUU